rnacentral:rRNA from 1 species
UACGGGGGGAGCAAGCGUUGUCCGGAUUUACUGGGCGUAAAGGGCGCGUAGGCGGCCAGCACAAGUCAGUUGUGAAAUCUCCGGGCUUAACUCGGAAAGGUCAACUGAUACUGUGCGGCUAGAGUGCAGAAGGGGCAACUGGAAUUCUCGGUGUAGCGGUGAAAUGCGUAGAUAUCGAGAGGAACACCUGCGGCGAAGGCGGGUUGCUGGGCUGACACUGACGCUGAUGCGCGAAAGCCAGGGGAGCGAACGGGG